GUCCACACUAUAAACAAUGGACACUAGAUAUGGGGAGUAUCGACCCUCUCCGUGUCGAAGCUAACGCGUUAAGUGUCCCGUCUGGGGAGUACGGCCGCAAGGCUAAAACUCAAAGGAAUUGACGGGGCCCGCACAAGCAGCGGAGCGUGUGGUUUAAUUCGAUGCAAAACGAGAACCUUACCAAGGCUUGACAUGCAAGAAGUAGUGAACCGAAAGGGAAUCCAACUGUUAAGUCAGUAGCUGCACAGGUGCUACAUGGCUGUCGU
rnacentral:rRNA from 1 species